GCUAGCUAUAUGCCACGUAUUACAAAAUAGUUAACCAAUCAUAUUCUUUUUAUUUACACAUCAGACGGGCCUCAACAUGUGGGCUUCGUCCUGCUUCUGCUGUUUACAUUUGGGCCUGUUUUUUUCCAAUCACCAGCCAUAGAGGACCUGUGUGUACCUCUGCUGUUCUUUGUCGUCGUCGCGUACGAGGCGCUGUAGCUCCUGAAGUCUGCGGUUCUUGGACCGCCGUGGUAAGGCUGGAUCUGCAUCCCUCCAUCUCCAUACGGUGUUCAAACCAGGUUGACUUCUACAUAAUACCAAAUACAUCUAUUCCAAUAUCUAUCUCCCUCUUCACAUCUCCUUCCGCUCCUCCCUACUCCAAUGAACCACGCCGUGUCUGCAUCUAUCCGACUCGCACCUUCGAGAAACGAAAAGCAGGUUCUGAAGAAGCUGUGGUGUGGUGUGGAGAUGUCAAAGGAAGGUAGCGGUGGUGGUGAUAAUGGAGCCGAGCAAGAAGAAGAAGAAGAGAAAGGCGGAGAAGAAGAGAAGACAGAGAUGCGAGGAGGAUGGAGUCGGAAGAUGACGACAGCUGCGUAGAUUAGGUUUAGGUUUUGGUUUAUUAGUUUUUGUUUAGUUAGGUGUUGGUUUAAUCUAUUUUAGUUUUUGGUUUAAUGUAUUCUGGUUUAUUAAUUUUUUUAUCCUGUUUUAGUUUUAUACUUAAUUGUAAUCUAAUUUUAAUUAAUAAAAAAAUUUCAUUUCUAAUUAAAAAUUAAUUUUUGAUUUUUAAUAUUUUUUAUUAAUUAAUUUUAAUUAGUUAAUUUUAACUAUUUUAUUUUAAAUUACAGCAUUAUAUUUAUGUCAUUAUAAAAUAUUUUACAACACUACAAAACAGCUAUGAAAAAUUACAUAAUAGCCGACAACAAUAUUUACAUAUUUCAGGACAAUGGAAAUAAAAAUGAUGGUUUUUUUUUGGUAAGAAUGUAAAAUUAUUAUUACCAGCUUUUGAAAUUUUUGACAAAAGAAAAAGGAGAACAAGGAACAGAAAACAUAAACAUAAAUCUAAA